rnacentral:misc_RNA from 1 species
GAUGAAGAACGCAGCGAAAUGCGAUAAGUAAUGUGAAUUGCAGAAUUCAGUGAAUCAUCGAAUCUUUAAACGCACAUUGCGCCCCCUGGUAUUCCGGGGGGCAUGCCUGUCCGAGCGUCAUUACAACCCUCAAGCUCAGCUUGGUGUUGGGCCCCGCCGCCCCGGCGGGCCCUAAAGUCAGUGGCGGUGCCGUCCGGCUCCGAGCGUAGUAAUUCUUCUCGCUCUGGAGGUCCGGUCGUGUGCUCGCCAGCAACCCCCAAUUUUUUUCAGGUUGACCUCGGAUCAGGUAGGGAUACCCGCUGAACUUAAGCAUAUCAAUAAGCGGAGGA